GGGCUUAUAGUUAAAUGGUAUAACCGCAUACUCUUAAUAUGCAGUUCAGGGUUCAAUUCCCUGUGGGCCUACC
rnacentral:tRNA from 1 species